ACAGAUCAAUAAACCCAGCCAAACCGCCAUUAAGAUCACGCUACGUGGAUAACCUAACAGCGAAUCUUGACCGUCAGAUGUAACCCAUGUGCCAAUCAUCACUCUGAAAGAGCAUUUUUUAUAUCGACGCACCAAAGCUUCAAAGCGCCGCCUGGAACAAGACAAGCCAACUUCUCUCCUUUCUUCUCUUAUCUUCUUGUUCUCCACAUAAAACCCUAGCCAAGUGUUAAUUUGUUUUCCUAUCGGAUACCCUUUGCAAUUUUUGUUAGUGUAGUUUUUUAUCUGAGCUCGGUUUUCUGUUUUGUGGGUCUUUUGUGGGAUUUAUUAUACGGGUUUGAGCUGAUAUAUAUACACACACACACGCACAGACAUAUAGAUUGUAACGUGUUUUCACCAUUGUGGAUAAUGAAUAUUGCUCCGUUACUUCAAUUACGCCCUUAUUGUAACAUUUGGGACUGUUUAUUUUAAGCUUUUAGGUUUAAUGUUGUGUAUGUAAUUUGUUUUAGGAUUAGGGUUUUCUUUUUUCUUUUGUGUUUGUUUUGGGCGUAUUCAGCUGAAACCAUUUAUUGGUACACUCUUUUUUGUGGCGUAAAUUUUAAGCUUCUGAUAUUUGCUUGCA